UACGUAGGGUGCAGGCGUUAAUCGGAAUUAUUGGGCCUAAAGCAUCCGUAGCCGGUCCUACAAGUCUUCCGUUAAAUCCACCUGCUCAACAGAUGGGCUGCGGAAGAUACUAUAGGGCUAGGAGGCGGGAGAGGCAAGCGGUACUCAGUGGGUAGGGGUAAAAUCCUCUGAUCCAUUGAAGACCACCAGUGGCGAAGGCGGCUUGCCAGAACGCGCUCGACGGUGAGGGAUGAAAGCUGGGGGAGCAAACCGG
rnacentral:rRNA from 1 species